rnacentral:rRNA from 1 species
CCCCUUAGAUGUUCUGGGCCGCACGCGUGCUACACUGAGUGGAUCAGCGGGUCAGGUUGCGCGAAAGCGUUUCCUAAUCUUGAAAUCCGCUCGUGAUGGGGAUUGACGGUUGCAAUUUUCUGUCAUGAACGAGGAAUACCUUGUAAGCGCGAGUCAUCAUCCCGCGCUGAAUACGUCCCUGCCCUUUGUACACACCGCCCGUCGCUCCUACCGAUUGAGUGGUCCGGUGAGGCUUUGGGAUCUGAGCGGAAAGAGCGUUUCGCUCGUUCUGCCCGGAAAACUCAGUCGAACCUUAUCAUUUAGAGGAAGGAGAAGUCGUAACA